rnacentral:sRNA from 1 species
GGUUGCAACAUCCCCGCGGGUUGGGUUUCGGCUAAACGUGGCCGGAAUAGCGAAUCCGCUGCAACC